GGCCUGGUGGUGUAAUGGCAACAUGUCCUGUAUGAUUGUCCAAGAUAAUAAGCAUAUCUCAGGAAGAUCCCUGUUCAACUCAGGGUCAGGCCA